CAGGCGCAGUGUGGGAGCAGCCGAGCGCGGGAAGCUCCAUGCACCCGUGCUGCUUCUCCACCGGUGCUGCUCCUUGUCGCCUUUCCUCAGUCGCGGAGCUUCGAUAGGUAAAGGAAAAAAUGCCUGCUACAAAGAAGCCGAUGAGAUAUGGGCACACAGAGGGACACACAGAUGUCUGUUUUGAUGAUUCUGGGAGUUGUAUUGUAACUUGUGGAAGUGAUGGUGAUGUGAGGAUUUGGGAAGACUUGGAUGAUGAUGAUCCUAAGUCCAUUAAUGUUGGAGAAAAAGCAUAUUCAUGUGCUUUGAAGAAUGGGAAAUUGGUCACUGCAGCAUCUAACAAUACUGUUCAAGUGCACACGUUUCCUGAAGGAGUUCCAGAUGGUAUAUUGACUCGCUUCACCACAAAUGCAAACCAUGUGAUCUUUAAUGGGGAUGGUGCAAAAAUUGCUGCUGGAUCUAGUGAUUUUCUAGUCAAAGUUGUGGAUGUGGCGGAUUGCAGCCAACAGAAAACAUUUCGAGGACACGAUGCUCCUGUUUUAAGUCUUUCCUUUGACCCUAAGGACAUCUUUCUGGCAUCAGCUAGUUGUGAUGGAUCUGUCAAGGUGUGGCAAAUUUCAGAUCAGACAUGUGCUAUCAGUUGGCCACUGCUGCAAAAAUGCAAUGAUGUGAUAAAUGCAAAAUCAAUCUGCAGACUUGCUUGGCAGCCAAAAAGUGGGAAGUUACUAGCAGUUCCUGUGGAAAAAUCUGUUAAGCUAUAUAGAAGAGAAACUUGGAGUAAUCAAUUUGAUCUUUCAGAUAAUUUCAUCUCUCAGACCCUAAAUAUAGUAACCUGGUCUCCUUGUGGACAAUAUUUAGCUGCAGGGAGUAUUAAUGGUUUAAUUAUAGUUUGGAAUGUGGAAACCAAAGAUUGCAUGGAAAGGGUGAAACAUGAGAAAGGUUAUGCAAUUUGUGGCCUGUCAUGGCAUCCUACUUGUGGUCAAAUAGCUUAUACUGAUGCAGAAGGAAAUCUGGGAGUCCUGGAGAAUGUUUGUGACCCCAGUGGAAAGAUGUCAAGCAGUAAGGUAUCUAGCAGAGUAGAAAAGGAUUAUAAUGAUCUUUUUGAUGGAGAAGAUACAAGUAGUGCUGGUGAUUUUCUAAAUGACAAUGCAGUCGAAACCCGCUCUUUUUCAAAACGGAUUAUAAAUGAUGAGGAAGAUGAUGAUGACCUCAUGCUGGCUUCAGGUCGUCCUAGACAGCGAAGUCAUAUCCUAGAAGAUGAUGAAAACUCAGUUGAUGUUACAAUGAUAAAAACUGGUUCUGGUUUUCUCAAAGAAGAGGAGGAGGAUGAUCAGGCAGGCAGCAUUCACAAUCUACCAGUUGUAACAUCCCAAAGGCCAUUUUAUGAUGGUCCUAUGCCAACGCCCCGGCAAAAGCCAUUCCAGUCAGGUUCUACACCCUUGCAUCUCACUCACAGAUUCAUGGUGUGGAACUCUAUUGGAAUUAUUCGCUGCUAUAAUGAUGAGCAAGACAAUGCCAUAGAUGUGGAGUUCCAUGAUACCUCCAUACACCAUGCAACACACUUAGCAAACACUUUAAAUUAUACAGUAGCGGAUCUUUCCCAUGAAGCUGUUUUGUUGGCAUGUGAAAGCACUGAUGAACUAGCAAGCAAGCUGCAUUGCCUGCACUUUAGUUCAUGGGAUUCAAGCAAAGAGUGGAUAGUAGACAUGCCUCAGAAUGAAAAUAUUGAAGCCAUAUGUCUUGGUCAGGGAUGGGCUGCUGCUGCCACUAGCGCCUUGCUCCUUCGCUUGUUUACCAUUGGAGGUGUUCAGAAAGAGGUCUUCAGUCUCCCUGGGCCUGUUGUGUCAGUGGCAGGAUAUGGAGAACAGCUUGUCAUUGUUUAUCACAGAGGUACAGGAUUUGAUGGGGAUCAGUGCCUUGGAGUUCAACUGCUGGAGCUGGGCAAAAAGAAAAAACAAAUUUUACAUGGUGAUCCUCUUCCUCUUACAAGGAAAUCCUACCUUGUAUGGCUUGGCUUUUCAGCUGAAGGUACCCCAUUUUACGUGGAUUCAGAAGGCAUUGUUCGAAUGCUUAACAGAGGACUUGGUCAUACAUGGACUCCUAUAUGUAACACAAGAGAACACUGCAAAGGGAAAUCUGAUCACUACUGGGUGGUUGGUAUCCAUGAAAAUCCCCAGCAACUGAGGUGUAUUCCUUGCAAAGGUUCCCGAUUUCCUCCCACCCUUCCACGCCCUGCUGUAGCUGUAUUACCCUUUAAGCUUCCUUACUGUCAGACUGCCACAGAGAAAGGACAAAUGGAGGAACAGUACUGGCGCUCAGUUAUGUUUCACAACCACCUUGAUUAUUUAGCUAAAAAUGGUUAUGAAUAUGAAGCGAGCACUAAAACUCAAGCAAUAAAAGAACAACAGGAACUUUUGAUGAAAAUGCUUGCGCUUUCUUGUAAACUGGAGCGGGAAUUUCGUUGUGUGGAACUCGCUGAUCUAAUGACUCAAAAUGCUGUGAAUUUAGCCAUUAAAUAUGCUUCUCGUUCUCGGAGAUUAAUAUUGGCCCAGAGACUUAGUGAACUGGCUGUAGAGAAAGCAGCAGAAUCGGCAGCCACCCAAGCUGAAGAAGAAGAAGAGGAUUUCAAAAAAAAGUUGAAUGCUGGUUACAGUAAUACUCCUACAGAGUGGAGUCAGCCAAGGCUCAGAAAUCAAGCUGAAGAAGAUUCAGAGGAUACUGGAGAAGCUGAUGAUAUAGAAGAAAAACCAGAAAUACAUAAACAUGGAGAAAACCCGUUUUUCAAAAGUGUAAAUUCCUCUGAUAUGCCAGCUAUUAAGUCAGGUGCAGUUACCUCUAGCAACCAAGGACGAAUAAACCCCUUCAAGGUAUCAGGCAAUUCCAAAGAGCCAUCCAUUUCAGUGAAUUCAGUACGUUCAACUAAUAUUUUAGACAAUAUGAACAAAUCAUCCAAGAAAUCUACUGCACUUAAUCGAGCUACAAAUUAUGAAAAGUCUCCAGUGAUAAAGCCUCUGGUUCCAAGACCAAAGUCUAAGCAGGCAUCUGCAGCAUCCUUUUUCCGGAAAAGAACUUCCCAAGCUGAUAGGACUGAGGAAGUGAAAGAAGAAAAUCCUAAAAAUCCAUCAUCUGAAACCCCAGCUAUGUGUCCUCAAAACACUGAAAACCAAAGGCCAAAGACCGGGUUCCAGAUGUGGCUGGAAGAAAACAGAUGUAAUAUUUUGUCUGACAAUCCUGACUUUUCAGAUGAAGCAGACAUAAUAAAAGAAGGAAUGGUUCGAUUUAGAGUAUUGUCAACUGAAGAAAGGAAGGCAUGGGCUGCCAAGGCCAAAGGAGGAACUGCAAGUGAUGGAGCUGAAGAAAAGAAACGAAAACGUGUGGUUGAUGAUAGUCAUGAAACUGAAAACCAGAAAGAAAAAACAAAGGAGAAUCUGAAUUUGCCUAAAAAGCAAAAACCUUUAGAUCUUUCUACGAAUCAGAAACUGUCAGCUUUUGCAUUUAAUCAGGAAUAGAGUAAGGAAGUGUACUUAGGAAAGUAAUGGAUUUUUUACUCAUCUUUGAUGAAUCUAGACCUUUUAAAAAAAAUCUUUAGGAAACUCUUUAUAUAUUUUUAAAAGAGUUUAAAGACUGCUAUUUGUCUUUAUAAGAUACUGUAGUAAUUAUAUUGGUGUAGGUAGCAGGGCAUCUGUAAAAACUAUCAUCUCUUCAGAUUGCUCUGCCCCCAAAUGGAGGGCCAUUCAGAAGCAUUGUGGUCAUGGUCACUGACUGGAGGCCACUGUCAUGUCCCAUUGGAAGCUGAUUUGUUUUUGUUUCUUACCUUAAAAAUCAUCAAAGCCAAGGUCUUAAAACCUCUGAACAUUCAAGUACCUUGUAGGGUUUUCCUUCUUUGGUUCAUGUCAUGUACUGGGAAGUACUACAAAAGUCCUCUUCCCAAGUGUGCUACCAUAGACUGCUCUCUAUGUCUAUACUGGCCCCAGGGGACCAUGUUUUUUUUUUUUAGUAUGGGCCCUAAACAUGUAAAUAAUUUUGUAGAUUAGACCUUUUGUUUGUUUUGGCAGUUUCUUCAUAUACUACCUUUAAUUAUUUGUGUAACUUUUUUUUUAAAUAAAAUUUUCGCAUUUCCAUAUUUAGCUUGAUAUGGUCUUUACAUUGUAUUUCCAUGAAAUGGAAGUAUUUCUAGAAAAUAUAUUUUAUAUUUAUUACCGUAAUUUCUACCACCCCCCAUCCUAUUACACAGUAUACACACAGAAGAGAAUUGAAGAUACUGUUUUGAUAGCAUUACAGCCCAGCGCGUAAUGUGCUCCUUGUAAGCUACUCUGGUUAUCAGCAUCAGCAGUGCUUUUCUGAGCAAGUCUUUGAAGCCUUGAUAAGAGAGUGGUUGAAGAGUAAUGGAAAGUGUUUAACUCCUCUUUUAUUUUGAACAAACAAGAUUUAAUUAAGUAGUUCAUCCAUUUUUUGGUUAGUAUUCUAAGCAGAACUUAAUACAAAUGCAGCCACUUAAUGAGGGCAAAGUACAAGGGGUGAGGUUGGGGUAGAGGGAUAGUAGUAAAAUAAAAUCAGGUGGCUCAAAAUCUAGGGUGGUUUUAUAGGUUGGAAGGAACAAAAUAUGUUGAAAAUUUAGAUGUAUAGGAGCCAAAGGAUAUUCCUUGUCUCAUGAUGAUUAAGGUUGCGAAGGAAUACAUUUCUGAUUUUUUAAUUAGUACCUGGUAUUGAGAAACAUUGUAGCAUAAAGGUUAGGAGCACAGAUUUCAAAGCCGGACUACCUGGGCUCAAAGGACCACUGCAAUACUACCAGCUAAAUAACCUUGGGUGUGCAGUCCAAAUUCAUGCUGAGUAGAGGCAUAAAGGAAAAAACAAAACAACUCAAGCCUGUAGUUUAAAGUGUGGCCUUUUGCUUGUAGUGUUCCUGUAAUUGACACCAAUUUCUACCUACUCUGCAGCUGUGUCAUAAAGGGCAAAAACAUAUGGAGUAGAAAGUAAACAUAAUGGAAUCAGAAAGCCAAAAGUUGGUUCUUUGAAAGACUGAUAAAUUAGAAAAAUAUCUGACAAGAUUAAUCAUGAUACAAAGAGAAAAGCAUGAAUAAGUAAUAUUAGGAAUGAAAAGGAAAUUAUUAACUACAAAAACAGUACAGAUUUUUUAAAGGUACGAGGUUUAUGAUGGUCAGUUUUAUGUGUCAGCUGGCUAGGCUACAGAUGUUAUUCAGUCAAACACUAACCUCUGUGUUGCUGUGAAGGUAUUUUAUAGAUUGUUUUAAAGUUCAUAACCACUUGACUUAAAGUAAGAGAUUAUCCUAGAUAGUCUGCGUGGUCCCAACUCAAUCAGUUGAAAGGCCUUAAGAGCAGAACUGAUACUUCCCUGAGGGAGAAGAAGAUACCACACCUGUAGAUCGCAGCUUCCACUCAGGCCUUGAGAUUUUUCAGCCUGCCUUUCCUGAAGGUCUCCCCUAUGGUUUGGGAUUUCAGACCUGCCUUGCAGCCUCUAUAAUCAUGUGAGUCAAUUUCCUGCAAUAAAUCAAUAUAUAUAUUCCUACCGGUUCUGUUUCUCCAGUUGAACACUGACUAAUUCGAGACUUUUAAACAGCUUUCUGACAGUAAGUUGGAAAAUUCUGAUGAAAUGAACAAGUUUCUACAAAAAAGACUAAAAUACUUAGGAAUAAAUUUAACAAGUGCAAAACUUAUUCUUUGAACUAUAAAACAUUGUUGAAAGACAUACAAGAAGACCCAAAUAAAUGGAAAGAUCCUGUGUUUAGGGAGCAGAAGACUUACUAGUGUUAAGAUGGCAAUACCCCCCAAAGUGAUCUACAGAUUCAAUGCUAUCCUAUCAAAACCCCAGCUGGCUUCUUUGUAGAAAAUGACAAGCUAAUCCAAAUGUUCAUAUAGAAAAUCAAGGGACUUGGAAUAGCCAAAAUAAUAUUGAAAAAGAACAAGUUAGAGGAUUCAUACUUCCCAAUUUAAAAACUACAAAGCUAUAUUAAUCAAGACAGUGUGGUACUGGCAUGAGAAUAGACCUACAGAUCAAUGGAAUGGAGAGUCCAGGAAUAAACUCUCACACUUAGAGUCAGUUGAUUUUUGACAAGGUGCCAGGGCAAGUAAAUGGGGAGAGGAUAGUCUUUUCCACAAACGGUGCUGGGACAACUGGAAACAUGCAAAAGAAUGAAGUUGGACCCCUCUCUCACACCAUAUAAAAAAAUCCCAGCUGUAUCAAGACAUAAAUGUAAACUAAAACGACAAGUCUUAGAAGAAAACGUAGGUGUAAAUCUUUGUGACCUUGGACUAAGUAAUGGUUUCUUAGGUAUAGCACCAGAAGCACAAGCAAAAUAGGUGAAGUCAACAUCAUCAAAAUUUAAAAUGUUUGUGCUUCAAAGAACACCAUCAAGAACGUGCAAAAAACAAGCCACAGAAAGCGAAAAGUUUUUUGGAAAUCAUAUAUCUGAUAAGGAACUUGUAACUAAAAUGUAUCAACAACUCUUAAAAUAUAUCAACAUUUCUCCAAAAGACAAUAUACAAAUGGCCAAUCCGCACAUGAAAAGAUACUCAAGAUCCUUAGGCAACAGGAAAAUGCAAAUCAAAUCACAAAG